UACGGAGGGUGCAAGCGUUGUCCGGAUUUAUUGGGUUUAAAGGGCGCGUAGGCGGGCCGGCAAGUCCGGGGUGAAAGCCCCCAGCUCAACUGGGGAAGUGCCUCGGAUACUGCCGGCCUCGAGGGAGGUAGGGGCGUGCGGAACUUCCGGUGGAGCGGUGAAAUGCGUAGAUAUCGGAAGGAACACCGGUGGCGAAAGCGGCGCGCUGGACCUCUUCUGACGCUGAGGCGCGAAAGCCAGGGGAGCGAACGGG
rnacentral:rRNA from 1 species